rnacentral:rRNA from 1 species
UGGGGAAUAUUGGACAAUGGGCGAAAGCCUGAUCCAGCCAUGCCGCAUGAGUGAUGAAGGCCCUAGGGUUGUAAAGCUCUUUCACCGGUGAAGAUAAUGACGGUAGCCGGAGAAGAAGCCCCGGCUAACUUCGUGCCAGCAGCCGCGGUAAUACGAAGGGGGCUAGCGUUGUUCGGAAUUACUGGGCGUAAAGCGCACGUAGGCGGAUUGUUAAGUCGGGGGUGAAAUCCCGGGGCUCAACCCCGGAACUGCCUUCGAUACUGGCAAUCUAGAGUCCGGAAGAGGUGAGUGGAAUUCCGAGUGUAGAGGUGAAAUUCGUAGAUAUUCGGAGGAACACCAGUGGCGAAGGCGGCUCACUGGUCCGGUACUGACGCUGAGGUGCGAAAGCGUGGGGAGCAAACA